GUUGUACAAGCAUCCUUUUACUGUUGCACCGCUGGACUGAAUCGAGGUGUGAAUGAUUGUGUACGAAAAUAUUGCAACACUUGUAUGAUUCCGGCACCUGCGAAGGACACGCACCGCAGCCGGACGAACAGACACAA